AAGGUGACUGUGACACAUAAAAGGCCACAAUAGCCCAUCCAACAUUUGCUGGAAAUCUGCUUGCCAGGUAUCUGUCCAGUGAGGGGCACAGGGGUUUUGUCUCCCUGGACAGCUAAGCCCGGCGGCUCCUCGGCCUCCUCUCCCAGGACUGUGGUGAUUCAACUCCAAGCUACCGCAACUUCCUGAGGCUCUGCUCUCUGUCUCCUCAGCUUAGUGGAACCACCAGACUGCACCCAUGACCUGGAAGCUGCUGAAAGCCAGUAGGUAUCGGACGGCAUUCACUGGAGCAGCCUUUGUUGUUCAGUGCAGAGAUGCAAAAGGGUUUCAGGAUUCAGAGCCCAUGAGAUACUCCACUGCUGCACUUCAGACAUAGGGAUGUGUCAGUUAUCGCUGUUAUUCUGUGGCAUUGUUGGAUGUAGUUAUGGGACUGCUACGGAUUUCCUCAGCAUGCAGCCAUCAGAGACCCUAUGUAAUGAUGAGUAUCAAUGUUUGAAAGAAGCCGGGUGUGGUGGCACACGCCUGUAAUCCCAGCAUCCUGGAA